UACGUAGGGAGCAAGCGUUGUUCGGAUUUACUGGGCGUAAAGCGCACGUAGGCGGCUUCUUAAGUCAGGGGUGAAAGCCUGGAGCUCAACUCCAGAACUGCCUUUGAUACUGAGGAGCUUGAGUCCGGGAGAGGUGAGUGGAACUGCGAGUGUAGAGGUGAAAUUCGUAGAUAUUCGCAAGAACACCAGUGGCGAAGGCGGCUCACUGGCCCGGUACUGACGCUGAGGUGCGAAAGCGUGGGGAGCAAACAGG
rnacentral:rRNA from 1 species